CCUAUGGGUGGCAGCAGUGGGGAAUAUUGGGCAAUGGGCGCAAGCCUGACCCAGCAACGCCGCGUGAAGGAAGAAGGCUCUCGGGUUGUAAACUUCUUUUAUCAGGGACGAAGCAAGUGACGGUACCGGAGGAAUAAGCCACGGCUAACUACGGGCCAGCAGCCGCGGUAAUACGUAGGUGGCAAGCGUUAUCCGGAUUGACUGGGUGUAAAGGGCGUGGAGGCGGGAAAGCAAGUCAGAUGUGAACACCAUGGGCUCAACCUGUGGCCUGCAUUUGAAACUGUUUUUCUUGAGUACUGGAGCGGCCGACGGAAUUCCUAGUGUAGCGGUGAAAUGCGUAGAUAUUAGGAGGAACACCCGUGGCGAAGGCGGUCUGCUGGACAGCAACUGACGCUGAGGCGCGCAAGCGUGGGGAGCAAACAGGAUUAGAUACCCGAGUAGUC
rnacentral:rRNA from 1 species